rnacentral:rRNA from 1 species
UACUGGUGACUCUGAAUAGCUAUAGCUGAUCGCAUGGUCCUGUACCGGCGACAUCUCUAUCAAGUGUCUGCCUUAUCAACUUUCGAUGGUAGUUUAUGUGCCUACCAUGGUUGUUACGGGUAACGGAGAAUAAGGGUUCGACUCCGGAGAGGGAGCCUGAGAAACGGCUACCACAUCCAAGGAAGGCAGCAGGCGCGCAAAUUACCCACUCUCGGCAUGAGGAGGUAGUGACGAAAAAUAACGAGACCGUUCUCAUUGAGGCCGGUUAUCGGAAUGGGUACAAUUUAAACCCGUUAACGAAGAUCUAUGAGAGGGCAAGUCUGGUGCCAGCAGCCGCGGUAAUUCCAGCUCUCAAAGUGUAUAUCGUCAUUGCUGCGGUUAAAAAGCUCGUAGUUGGAUCUGAGCUUGGGAACUUGGUCCACCCUUUGGGUGAGUACUGGGCUUCCCGGCCACGUUUUGCUGGUUUUCCCUGCAUUGCCUUCACCGGUUGUGUAGGGUGGCUAGCGAGUUUACUUUGAAAAAAUUAGAGUGCUUAAAGCGGGCUUUAAGUCUGAAUAUUGGUGCAUGGAAUAAUAGAACAGGAUCUCGGUUCUGUUUUUGUUGGUUUUCUGAAUUGAGAUAAUGGUUAACGAGGGACAGACGGGGGCACUGCUAUCGCAUACGUGAGAGG